rnacentral:rRNA from 1 species
CCUACGGGUGGCAGCAGUAGGGAAUAUUGCUCAAUGGGGGAAACCCUGAAGCAGCAACGCCGCGUGGAGGAUGAAGGUUUUCGGAUUGUAAACUCCUUUUGUUAGAGAAGAUAAUGACGGUAUCUAACGAAUAAGCACCGGCUAACUCAGGUCCAGCAGCCGCGGGAAUACGGAGGGUGCAAGCGUUACUCGGAAUCACUGGGCGUAAAGAGGGCGUAGGCGGGAUAGCAAGUGAGGUGGGAAAUCCUAUGGCUUAACCAUAGAACUGCAUUUGAAACUGGUAUUCUAGAGUAUGGGAGAGGUAUGUGGAAUGCUUGGUGUAGGGGUAAAAUCCGUAGAGAUCAAGAGGAAUACUCAUUGCGAAGGCGACCUGCUAGAGCAUAACUGACGCUGAUGCGCGAAAGCGUGGGGAGCGAACAGGAUUAGAUACCCGGGUAGUC